rnacentral:rRNA from 1 species
AUUGAACGCUGGCGGCAGGCCUAACACAUGCAAGUCGAGCGGAUGAAGGGAGCUUGCUCCUGGAUUCAGCGGCGGACGGGUGAGUAAUGCCUAGGAAUCUGCCUGGUAGUGGGGGAUAACGUCCGGAAACGGGCGCUAAUACCGCAUACGUCCUGAGGGAGAAAGUGGGGGAUCUUCGGACCUCACGCUAUCAGAUGAGACUAGGUCGGAUUAGCUAGUUGGUGGGGUAAAGGCCUACCAAGGCGACGAUCCGUAACUGGUCUGAGAGGAUGAUCAGUCACACUGGAACUGAGACACGGUCCAGACUCCUACGGGAGGCAGCAGUGUGGAAUAUUGGACAAUGGGCGAAAGCCUGAUCCAGCCAUGCCGCGUGUGUGAAGAAGGUCUUCGGAUUGUAAAGCACUUUAAGUUGGGAGGAAGGGCAGUAAGUUAAUACCUUGCUGUUUUGACGUUACCAACAGAAUAAGCACCGGCUAACUUCGUG